AGUAGUUCGAUGACGAGAAGAGUAAGCUGUGCCCCCUGACCCAAAGAGAGUCGCGAAAAGCUGAGAAGCGAUGGCAGGAAUCAGUUGAAAAUCAUCUCUGAGACGUUUUCCUGAAAACAAGAAGUAGGGAAAACCGGUUGACGGCCGUUAUCCGAUUUUAACCGAGUGCUAUGUGAUUUUCACAUGGAAUAUGGGUGGUACCGCGGAUCCAAUCCGUCCCUGUU
rnacentral:ncRNA from 1 species